rnacentral:rRNA from 1 species
CCCUUAGAUGUUCUGGGCCGCACGCGUGCUACACUGAGUAAUUCAAUGGGUAAGGGAACGCUAGAGCAUUACCUAAUCUUGAAAUUUGCUCGUGAUGGGGAUCGACGGUUGCAAUUUUCCGUCGUGAACGAGGAAUACCUUGUAGGCGCAUGUCAUCAUCAUGCGCCGAAUACGUCCCUGCCCUUUGUACACACCGCCCGUCGCUCCUACCGAUUGAGUGAUCCGGUGAGGCUCUGGGACCUGGACGGAAAGAGCGUUUCGCUUGUUCUGUUUGAGAAACUUGGUCGAACCUUAUCAUUUAGAGGAAGGAGAAGUCGUAACA